GUUCCUUCAUUAUGGUGAAAUCUCUCUAAAACUUAAGUGAGAGAUGUUCUAGUUUCUGAAGCACAAAUGAUUAGUUGGGUGUUAACAACCUGGUACAUUUCAGUUGCACUUAGUUACUUGUUUUCUUGAUAAGUCU
rfam:Solanum lycopersicum cultivar Heinz 1706 chromosome 12, whole genome shotgun sequence.